GGUGGUACUUUUCAUUUUUCCAUUUUAUUUUAUUUUGGUUUCUCCUUUUCCUCUUCCCACGCUUUGUUGAAAUUCUCUUCUUUCUUUAAUUCGUAAAUAGUACCAAAAAUUUAUUUUCUCUGUUUUAAAGAUUCUCCACCUUUCUUAACAUGUCUUUAGUCGCUUCUCAGAUCCCUCAGUUUUCUCCAAAUUUUCUCUGAAUUUGAAUUUCUUCACGGUAUAUCUACAAAUUCUUUUUCAUUGCCUUCAAGCUUAAUCAUUUUAUUGGUUAUUGCUUCACAGUUUCUUAUCUUAUUUCAUCAAUCAUGCCAUCAAUUUUGAGUUUCUAGCUUUUUUUUUUGUGUGUAACUUUGCUUCUUAUGUGUUUCAUGUAACUUUUUGUUUCCACGGUUUCAGGGAAUCAAUUGAGGGUUAGGUUAUCGGGCUAUGUUUGCAUGGUUUUGAACUGUCAUAUUUUCAUAGUUGUAUUAUUUGGAUGGUGUAUUAAUUAAUUUAAAGAAGGAAAUUUGGUGAAUUUUCCUUGUUGAGGUCUUUAUAUAUAAUUUUAAUCUGGACAGAAAGUUAUGUGGCUGAAACUAAUCUGGGUUUGUUUUUCUUUUUAUAAACGAAUUAGUUCUCUGUUCUGAUCUGGUUUUUGAGUUUCAAGGGUUUAAGUUAACUUAUUUGUUCAAAUAGUAGCAUGCUCUGCUGGCAACUGCUGUUGAUUUUAUUGUUUUUUGCUUGGAUCCCAGAGGUUCUACUUGUUUCUGUGUUGUGUAAUUGUAUUUGAGUGAUUCUACUUAGUUUGUAAAGCUCAAGUCUUGAGUUGUUUGUGAGAGUUGUAGUUUUAGAUCUACUGUUUAAGAUGAAAGUGUUUUUGUUUUGGCUGUAGUUUUUGUAAUAUAAAAGGUUUUGAAUGAUUUUUUAUGUUAACUGUACUCCUUGCUUCCUUGUUCUGUAUUUAUCAGUGUAUAUGACCGUCUUUUUUUGUCUAGAUCCAUGUACUUAGUAGAGAUUGUGGAUUUUAGAUUAACUGUCAUAGAUUCUAGGACAUGGUGUUGAUUUCUAAUUCAAGGGAUCGGGUGACAAAUGAUAAACAUGUUACUGGUCACAACAUUUUAACAUCUAAUAAAGAAUCUAACAUGUUGGAUCUUAAGUCUCAACCAUAGACUAUAAGGCUAGGAUAGACAAUUGUCUGUUAAUAAUCAUCAUCAUCACCUUUCCAUAUUAAGAUUAAUGAGUGGAAAAAAUCCCUGAGCUCUAGUAUUUUAGUUAAUUUUGUGAAAUUUAAGUUUAGAGAAAAUUUUAUGGCUUUAUUAUCUUCAAAAACUUUGAAGAAAUUGUUUUCUUAUCUAUGACUUUAAAUUUUCUUUUAUUUUACUGCUCAAGUAAUAAAUAAAGUGGCGUAACCAUUGACCAUUCACGCAAUUAGAAGUGCUUUGACUUCAUAGUUAAGGCUAUUUGAUGAAAGUAGACAGUUCUUUAGGUUUUCAGUGCUUUGUUCUAUCCAAAGGUGUACAAUAUUUUUAGGUAAUGAACUUUUUUAAAUUUAUUUAUGAGAUUUGUUUUCUAUUAUGAUCUGCUUUUUCAGUAUGCUGGGGAUAAAUGCAUCUGGUAGAAAAGGAUUUUGAAAAAAAAAAAAAAAGAAUUCUAAAAGAAAUAGUAAACUUGAAUAUAAUCCUAGAAGAAUCUGCAUGGAACUUUGUUACUUAAAUUGAUAUUUCCAGAUAUAUUUCGCAUAACACAGGCCCCUAGCUUAAAUGGGGAAUUAUUUAUAGUUUGUUCGUUAAUACCUUUUUGGAACUUUGGAAUUCGAUUUUCGUUUUUAACAUAACUGAAUUAAUCCCAUUUUCUUUUUAGAGAGUAAUAAAUUUAUCUGUUUCAGGGUGAAAGGUGUAAUUUAUGCAUUAUUAUUAAUAAUUUGAUUCUCAUUUAUUUUUAUUCAUCAACCACCUUAGAACAACUUUAUCUUCAUUCCAGAAUAAACAGAAAAAAAACAUAAAACCCUAGACUUGAUGAGGGCCUCACCUGCCCAUGAUUUCGAUCUGUCAUUUUAAACAGUAUUGAUGGUUACAUCUGUACUGAAAUUGUUGCUAGUGCCUCUUAAGACGAUGGUUAUGAGUAUUUUUCAUCCUUUUGCGUUGUACUGCAGGUUGUGUUGCGUUGAUUCGAUUUCCAAGAAUAUUCUGGAACUAGAAUGUGCAGCUAACUUUUCCUUAUAUAUCUUCUUGUGGUUUAAGUUUUAAUGUUAAAAUAUCUAAUUAAUGCUGUGGAAAUUGGUAUUACUUAUAAUAUAUUUGAAUGGCUUUUAUUAUUGCCUUAUUGUGUUGCUUCAUUUGUUUUUUCUUGUUAGGGUUAAUGACACCAAGCUAUCUGUCAAUAAGGAGCACAAGACGCUCCAGAUAUCUCUUUGCAUCCACUUUGAAUGUUCUUAUAAAAGGAUUUUAUCCUAGAAAUGUUGUCAGAUACAUCGGCAAUUAAGCUUUUACAUAAUUGAAGUCUGUGCUGUUGUUGUAGACACUUGAUAAGAUGGACCGAGCAGAUACAUCAGGGUUUGUANNNN
rnacentral:lncRNA from 1 species